rnacentral:rRNA from 1 species
UACGUAGGGACCAAGCGUUGUUCGGAUUUACUGGGCGUAAAGGGCGCGUAGGCGGCAAUUCAAGUCACUUGUGAAAUCUCCGGGCUUAACUCGGAACGGUCAAGUGAUACUGCUUUGCUAGAGUGCGGAAGGGGCAAUCGGAAUUCUCGGUGUAGCGGUGAAAUGCGUAGAUAUCGAGAGGAACACCUGAGGUGAAGACGGGUUGCUGGGCCGACACUGACGCUGACAGCGCGAAAGCCAGGGGAGCAAACGGG